ensembl:lncRNA
AUAUUGGGUUUUGCCAUACAGUGAUUCUAUAUUUUCAUGAAAUGAAACUGAAAGCAUCCAUGACUAGUUUGUAGACGUAUUUUUUUGUGGAGAAAUUCUAGCAUUAUCCAGUGAGUUGCAGCUGGUUCCGGAAUAGGAGACAAUACAAUGAAAGGCACCAUCUUGGGUUGACUGUGGCGCAUUAAUUGGAGUGUGUGCGACUGAGCAAGACACCCAACCUGGACGCGUUCACAGCCCACUGGUCACACUGUGUGAGAUGGGUUAAAUCAGAGAACAAUUUCCUGUAUGUGUAAAAUAAUACUUGGCAAUAGAAAAAUCUUCUUCUUCUUUGGCACUGUAGAAUAUUAUGAACAGACUGACAACCCGGCUAAUAGGGUACGUUGGCUGCCUCUCCUCUUGACACUUUGUGCUUGUGUGAUUUAUAUGGCUUUUAUAGCUAUUAUUUUUUCAACCCCGUUUUUACGUAUUGCCAUUGCUCCUUGAGUUGGAAUGUGACCUUUUCCUACUUCCCUCAGUUGGAAUACAGUCAGAUUCAUUUAGGAUUGCUGCCCCGGCUGAAGCUGUGCUUGUCCCUGUGGUCGUUGGCAAACGCCACUGCAUGUGCCUAACAGAAACCUGGCAAAAACCAGGGGACUACUCUGUGCUUAAUGAGGCAUGUCCCCCUGGCUAUAACUACAUGGAGAAAGCCCGCAGCUCUGGUCGUGGUGGUGGACCAGCCAUCAUGUUGAACUAAAACGUUCUCCUCUGCAAAUGCCUGAUCCUUUAUGGAAUACCUGGCCUCCAAAUGCAAAUCUCCGUACUGCGUGACAGUGCUUGUCAUAUACCGUCCUCCAAAGCCAAACCCAUCUCUUCUACCUGAGGUAAGUGAUCUCCUUACUUCACUCUGCACUAUGUCCACUAAUAUUGUCAUUUUCUGGUGAUUUAAAUAUUAAUGUCAACAACCCCUCCUGUCAUUUUGCUUGAGGUUUCUACUCACACCAAUGGGCACAUUCGGGAUCUGGUUAUCACUGACUCGGCUCCCAUCAGUAACCUACAGGUUUAUGAUCUUGGUGUGUCCGACCACAAGGUUGUCUCAAUGGCCAUGACUCUCAUGCUGCCUACUGUUAGACCUAAGCGCCAAAUGUCUUUUCGGAACUGGAAAAGCAUAGACUCCGUUGCUAUGACUAUGAACCUCGAGCUCAUCACCUGCCCAGCCUCUGCAUCAAUGGAUGAAUUAGUAGAACUGUAAAAUGCAUCCCUGAGCAGUGUUUCAGAGCUCUCAAAGUUGCUGUCAUCCGUCCCUUCCUCAAGAAGCCCACCCUGGACCGGAGGUUCUAGCCAACAACAGACCACAAUACAGAUCUCCAACCUUCCCUUCCUGUACCAGGUGCUAGAUGAGGUUCUCAACUUCAGGGCUACCUCAAGCACAACAACUUGUUUGAAAAAAUUCAGUCAGGAUUCCUUUCAGCUCACAGCACGGAAACAGCUUUGCUCAGGGUGCCGAAUGACCUGCUGAUGACAGCUGAGGCUGGAUCACCCUCAAUUCUCAUCAUCCUGGACCUGACUGCUGCAUUUGAUACAGUGGAUCACACUAUCCUCCUAGAGUGCCUCCACACCACCAUUGGAAAAUCAGACUUAAGUGGUUUCAGUCCUACUUUUCUGGCCGAACUGAAUAGGUCUUACUGGGAAGAUGCAGUCCAGACUGCUCCCUGUCUCCUGUGGUGUUCCGCAAGGGUCCGUCCUUGGCCCCAACUUCUUUAUCACCAACAUGCUCCCCCUUGGCCGUGUCAUCAGCAAACAUGGAAGGUCCUUUCACUGUUAUGCUGACGACACACAGCUCUACAUCAAGACUGUCCCGAGCCCCUCUGCUGCCAUGUCAUGUCUCAUCGCCUGUCUUGGGGAGAUAAAGGCACGACAACUUUCUCUAGCUAAACCGCUAAUCCAACACCGAAGCCCUUCUUGUUGGCACUCCACACCAGGUUCAGUCAUCCUCCAUUAUCCAUCUCACCUUUGACAGUCAGGUCAUACCUCUCUCCACAGUUACCAAUCUGGGAGUUAGGUUUGACCCUCGCCUGACCUUUAAUGACCAUGUAAAAUACCUGACCAAAAACAUCUCCAAACUCCGCCCCACGUUUACCCUGUCAGAUGCAGAGAAGCUUGUCCAUGCCUGUAUCUCCUCAAGACUGGACUACUGUAAUUCACUUUUAACUGUAAUCACUGGGAAGAAUAUCCUGAAACGACCAUUCAUCCAAAACAGCGCUGACAGGAUCCUGAUGGGAGUCCCGAAAUAUGAACACAUAACACCCGUCCUACACUCACUACACUGGCUUCCUGUCUCUUUCCGGACUGACUACAAAAUUCUACUACUCACUCAUGAAUGCAUAAAUGGACAUGCACCUCCCUAUCUACAAGAACUACUCACUCCCCAAAUCUCCACCCGCACCCUUAGAUCUGCAAGCACCUCGCUCUUCUGGGUCCCCUACAUGAAGCUCCAUGUUUUUACUAGCUUUUACUUAAUUUUUUUACUAGUUUGAAUUAUUAUUUUAUGUAUUACCUAUGUUAUUGCCAUUUAUGUUGAACUCUGAGAUAUGCUGAUGAAGAGUGCAUUAUAAAUAAAAUGUAUUAUUAUUACAAAUUAGGCCGUUUAAUGAAAUGCAUGCAGUGUAAUACUUUAGACAUUUAAAA